rnacentral:rRNA from 1 species
ACUCCUACGGGAGGCAGCAGUGGGGAAUAUUGCACAAUGGGGGAAACCCCCGAUGCAGCCAUGCCGCGUGUGUGAAGAAGGCCUUCGGGUUGUAAAGCACUUUCAGUAGGGAGGAAGGUAGUGUAGUUAACACCUGCACUAUUUGUACGUUACCUACAGAAGAAGCACCGGCUAACUCCGUGCCAGCAGCCGCGGCAAUACGGAGGGUGCGAGCGUUAAUCGGAAUUACUGGGCGUAAAGCGCAUGCAGGCGGCCUGUUAAGUCAGAUGUGAAAGCCCGGGGCUUAACCUCGGAAUUGCAUUUGAAACUGGCAGGCUAGAGUCUUGUAGAGGGGUUAGAAUUUCAGGUGUAG